UACGUAGGCAGCAAGCGUUGUUCGGAAUUACUGGGCGUAAAGAGUGUGUAGGUGGUGUCGUAAGUUUGGUGUGAAAUCUCCCGGCUUAACUGGGAGGGUGCGCCGAAGACUGCGAUGCUGGAGUAUGGGAGAGGAAAGCGGAAUUCCUGGUGUAGCGGUGAAAUGCGUAGAUAUCAGGAGGAACACCUGCGGUGUAGACGGCUUUCUGGACCAUUACUGACACUGAGACACGAAAGCGUGGGUAGCAAACAGGAUUAGAAACCCUAGUAGU
rnacentral:rRNA from 1 species